rnacentral:rRNA from 1 species
CCUACGGGAGGCAGCAGUGAGGAAUAUUGGUCAAUGGGCGAGAGGCUGAACCAGCCAAGUCGCGUGAGGGAAGACGGCCCUAUGGGUUGUAAACCUCUUUUGUCGGGGAGCAAAAGGAGCCACGUGUGGCGUUUUGAGAGUACCCGAAGAAAAAGCAUCGGCUAACUCCGUGCCAGCAGCCGCGGUAAUACGGAGGAUUCGAGCGUUAUCCGGAUUUAUUGGGUUUAAAGGGUGCGUAGGUGGAUAGUUAAGUCAGUUGUGAAAGUUUGCGGCUCAACCGUAAAAGUGCAGUUGAAACUGGCAGUCUUGAGUACAGUAGAGGUGGGCGGAAUUCGUGGUGUAGCGGUGAAAUGCUUAGAUAUCACGCAGAACUCCGAUUGCGAAGGCAGCUCACUGGACUGCAACUGACACUGAGGCUCGAAAGUGUGGGUAUCAAACAGGAUUAGAUACCCGAGUAGUC